rnacentral:rRNA from 1 species
GCAGUGGGGAAUUUUGGACAAUGGGGGCAACCCUGAUCCAGCAAUGCCGCGUGUGCGAAGAAGGCCUUCGGGUUGUAAAGCACUUUUGGCGGGAACGAAACGGUGCCGGAUAAUACCUGGCGCCACUGACGGUACCCGCAGAAUAAGCACCGGCUAACUACGUGCCAGCAGCCGCGGUAAUACGUAGGGUGCAAGCGUUAAUCGGAAUUACUGGGCGUAAAGCGUGCGCAGGCGGUUCGGAAAGAAAGAUGUGAAAUCCCAGGGCUCAACCUUGGAACUGCAUUUUUAACUACCGGACUAGAGUAUGUCAGAGGGGGGUGGAAUUCCACGUGUAGCAGUGAAAUGCGUAGAUAUGUGGAGGAACACCGAUGGCGAAGGCAGCCCCCUGGGAUAAUACUGACGCUCAUGCACGAAAGCGUGGGGAGCAAACAGGAUUAGA